AAAGCGUGGGGAGCAAACAGGAUUAGAUACCUGGUAGUCACGCUGUAAACGAUGUCGAUUUGGAGGUUGUUCCCUUGAGGAGUGGCUUCCGGAGCUAACGCGUUAAAUCGACCGCCUGGGGAGUACGGCCGCAAGGUUAAAACUCAAAUGAAUUGACGGGGGCCCGCACAAGCGGUGGAGCAUGUGGUUUAAUUCGAUGCAACGCGAAGAACCUUACCUACUCUUGACAUCCAGAGAAUUUAGCAGAGAUGCUUUAGUGCCUUCGGGAACUCUGAGACAGGUGCUGCAUGGCUGUCGUCAGCUCGUGUUGUGAAAUGUUGGGUUAAGUCCCGCAACGAGCGCAACCCUUAUCCUUUGUUGCCAGCACGUUAUGGUGGGAACUCAAAGGAGACUGCCGGUGAUAAACCGGAGGAAGGUGGGGAUGACGUCAAGUCAUCAUGGCCCUUACGAGUAGGGCUACACACGUGCUACAAUGGCGUAUACAAAGAGAAGCGACCUCGCGAGAGCAAGCGGAACUCAUAAAGUACGUCGUAGUCCGGAUUGGAGUCUGCAACUCGACUCCAUGAAGUCGGAAUCGCUAGUAAUCGUAGAUCAGAAUGCUACGGUGAAUACGUUCCCGGGCCUUGUACACACCGCCCGUCACACCAUGGGAGUGGGUUGCAAAAGAAGUAGGUAGCUUAACCUUCGGGAGGGCGCUUACCACUUUGUGAUUCAUGACUGGGGUGAAGUCGUAACAAGGUAACCA
rnacentral:rRNA from 1 species